AUUGAACGCUGGCGGCAGGCUUAACACAUGCAAGUCGAGCGGAGAUGAGGUGCUUGCACCUUAUCUUAGCGGCGGACGGGUGAGUAAUGCUUAGGAAUCUGCCUAUUAGUGGGGGACAACAUUCCGAAAGGAAUGCUAAUACCGCAUACGUCCUACGGGAGAAAGCAGGGGAUCUUCGGACCUUGCGCUAAUAGAUGAGCCUAAGUCGGAGUAGCUAGUUGGUGGGGUAAAGGCCUACCAAGGCGACGAUCUGUAGCGGGUCUGAGAGGAUGAUCCGCCACACUGGGACUGAGACACGGCACAGACUCCUACGGGAGGCAGCAGUGGGGAAUAUUGGACAAUGGGGGGAACCCUGAUCCAGCCAUGCCGCGUGUGUGAAGAAGGCCUUAUGGUUGUAAAGCACUUUAAGCGAGGAGGAGGCUACUGAGACUAACACUCUUGGAUAGUGGACGUUACUCGCAGAAUAAGCACCGGCUAACUCUGUGCCAGCCGCCGCGGUAA
rnacentral:rRNA from 1 species